rnacentral:rRNA from 1 species
GUGUCAGCCGCCGCGGUAAUACGUAGGGUGCGAGCGUUAAUCGGAAUUACUGGGCGUAAAGCGUGCGCAGGCGGUUCGUUGUGUCCGAUGUGAAAGCCCCGAGCUCAACUUGGGAACGGCAUUGGAAACUGGCGGGCUGGAGUGUGGCAGAGGGGGGUGGAAUUCCACGUGUAGCAGUGAAAUGCGUAGAGAUGUGGAGGAACACCGAUGGCGAAGGCAGCCCCCUGGGCCAACACUGACGCUCAGGCACGAAAGCGUGGGGAGCAAACAGGAUUAGAUACCCCCGUAGUCC